AUUGAACGCUAGCGGGAUGCCUUACACAUGCAAGUCGAACGGAGUGGCGAACGGGUGAGUAAUGUAUCGGAACGUGCCCAGUAGCGGGGGAUCACUACGCGAAAGCGUAGCCAAUACCGCAUACGAUUGGAGCGCCCGAUAUUGUGGUAGCUAGGUGGGGGCGUAACGGCUCACCAAGGCGACGAUCCGUAGCUGGGUUGAGCGGACGACCAGCCAAACGGGGACUGAGACACGGCCCAGACUCCUACGGGAGGCAGCAGGGGGGAAUUUUGGACAAUGGGGGAAACCCUGAUCCAGCCAUCCCGCGUGUGCGAUGAAGGCCUUCGGGUUGUAAAGCACUUUUGGCAGGAAAGCGGUACCUGCAGAAUAAGCACCGGCUAACUACGUGCCAGCAGCCGCGGUAAUUC
rnacentral:rRNA from 1 species